GGUUUCCGUAGGUGAACCUGCGGAAGGAUCAUUAUCAAAAGUCAAGUCGGGGGCUGUAAAGCUCUCGUCUACACCCAUGUCUUUUGCGUACUCUUGUUUCCUCGGUGGCGCAAGCUGCCGAUUGGACAAACCAAAACCUUUUUUGUAAUUGCAAUCAGCGUCUGAAAAUAAUCUAAUUAUUUACAACUUUCAACAACGGAUCUCUUGGUUCUGGCAUCGAUGAAGAACGCAGCGAAAUGCGAUAAGUAGUGUGAAUUGCAGAAUUCAGUGAAUCAUCGAAUCUUUGAACGCACAUUGCGCCCCUUGGUAUUCCAUGGGGCAUGCCUGUUCGAGCGUCAUUUGUACCCUCAAGCUUUGCUUGGUGUUGGGCGUCUUGUCGUAUUACGACUCGCCUUAAAUUCAUUGGCAGCCGGCACUUUGGCCUAGGAGCGCAGCACAUUUUGCGAUCGUAGCCCGUUGCACUGGCGUCCAUCAAGAACAUUUACCACGUUUGACCUCGGAUCAGGUAGGGAU
rnacentral:rRNA from 1 species